CCUACGGGAGGCAGCAGUGGGGAAUAUUGCACAAUGGGGGAAACCCUGAUGCAGCGACGCCGCGUGAGCGAAGAAGUAUUUCGGUAUGUAAAGCUCUAUCAGCAGGAAAGAAAAUGACGGUACCUGACUAAGAAGCUCCGGCUAAAUACGUGCCAGCAGCCGCGGUAAUACGUAUGGAGCAAGCGUUAUCCGGAUUUACUGGGUGUAAAGGGAGCGCAGGCGGUCUGGCAAGUCUGGUGUGAAAGGCCGGGGCUCAACCCCGGGACUGCAUUGGAAACUGUCAGACUGGAGUGUCGGAGAGGCAAGCGGAAUUCCUAGUGUAGCGGUGAAAUGCGUAGAUAUUAGGAGGAACACCAGUGGCGAAGGCGGCUUGCUGGACGAUGACUGACGCUGAGGCUCG
rnacentral:rRNA from 1 species